rnacentral:tRNA from 1 species
UGCAGAAGGGCUGGUGUUCAGUCGGGCUUCAUAAGCCUGAACGGGUGAGUUCAAUUCUCACUUCUGCAACCA